rnacentral:misc_RNA from 1 species
GAGUGGUGAACAAAGUAGAAGAGAUAUUUACUCUUUGAUAACAUUGUUGUCGAAGGACCGUUGUUGUGCAAAAAGGCUAAAAAUUCUGUGGAUUGUCUUGGCAAAGACUACUAGAAAAAAAAAGAGAGAAUUUGAAGCCUAAAAAGCGGAAGAUCUUUCAGGUGUGAGUCUGAAUUUUCCGUGUUGUAAACGCAUUGAAUUCAUAAAAAGGAACUCACAAGUCAGACAAGAUGAUGAAGACUUUGGUGUUAUUGACAGCUUUAGUAUGUUUAACUAUUACAACGGCCAGGUUUCUGGAUGAAACCAGAUCUGAAAGAGAAUGCGAAGAAGACUACGAUUGCCAAAGCCCUGAGAAUGAAAAUCUCAUUUGCAAUUACCAGAAUCAAUGCAGAAAUAUCUCAUUUUGGGAUGAAAUUAUACGACGAAAACCGUGUUUCCGCAUAUGGAAGAGCUCAUGUUCAUCAGACUCUGACUGCCCGUGCGAGGGAAACAGGCUGAUGUGUGAAGAUGGAGAAUGUGUUGAAAACAGGAGUGUAGUGGCCAGAUCAUAAAUUAUCACCAUGCUGUUGCCUUUCUUUUAAAUUUUAAUUUAGCUCAAAACGAACUAUACUAGUAGAUAUUAAACAGCUUAAGCACAGGCGUUUUCGAGAGAAGGACGAAAAAACCGAAAGUCGAAUUUUCUCCUCUUUAAGGGGGGAAUUAAUCAUUGGUAGUGGGGGUGGGGUGGGUGAAAAUACGCCCAUGCAAGGACAUAGACUUCUCUUUGACGUUCGUGGCUCAGAAACGUCUGUACUUGAGCUCUCUAUCAUCAAUCUGAAAUCACUAACCCGAUGUAAAUUUACUGAAAACUCUUCAAGGGUUCUUAAAUAAAGGAAUGAAAAUUCGAUACCA